AAACCCACUCAUGGGAUUGUCUUCGCCCAAGGACCAGGGUAUACCUGGUGGGUAAUGCAGAAGGAUGGGGAUAUCAGGUGUGUGCCUCAAGGAGAUCUAACUUUGGGAGAAAACUAAUCUGUAAUCUAAGUUAUAUGUUGUAGGAAGACGCUGCAAGAUCAAUGACAGGUCAACUUUGCAAGGAACUGGGCAAGUGCAACAAGGACUUGAGCUAAGCUGGUGCUGGCGUCCAGACAUCCAGCUCCACCUGCCCUGAGUGACCACUUUGGCAGAUUAAGACUAAAUCAUCAACAGUUCUUAUGGACGUUUUCCAAGAGUGACUUAUAGAAUGUAAAGAUGUACCUACCUAUCAAUUCUUGUCUUAUUAAAU